GAAAGGAAAUGGGGUCAAUAUUCCCCGACCCAGACACGGAGAUUGGGCCCUCGGGCCCAAUUGCGGCGACGCAACCGAACUCGGAGACGGCGACGGAGGACCCGGGGAAGAGUUGUCUUUUCUUUGUAAGGGUUCGCUUCCCUGGAAUCGGCUCGUCCGGAGAUAGGGACAGGGUUCCCGUAAAAGCACCGCGGCUCUUGCGGUGUCCGGUGCGCCUCCGUCGUCCCUUGCAAAUCCGAGGGAGAGAGUAUGAUUUUCGUUCCGGACCGUACCCAUAACCGCAGCAGGUCUCCAAG
rnacentral:rRNA from 1 species